AGCGAACGCUGGCGUCAGGCCUAACACAUGCAAGUCGAACGAACUCUUCGGAGUUAGUGGCGGACGGGUGAGUAACACGUGGGAACGUGCCUUUUGGUUCGGAAUAACUCAGGGAAACUUGUGCUAAUACCGAAUGUGCCCUUCGGGGGAAAGAUUUAUCGCCAUUAGAGCGGCCCGCGUCUGAUUAGCUAGUUGGUGAGGUAACGGCUCACCAAGGCGACGAUCAGUAGCUGGUCUGAGAGGAUGACCAGCCACACUGGGACUGAGACACGGCCCAGACUCCUACGGGAGGCAGCAGUGGGGAAUCUUGGGCAAUGGGCGAAAGCCUGACGCAGCCAUGCCGCGUGAAUGAUGAAGGUCUUAGGAUUGUAAAAUUCUUUCACCGGGGACGAUAAUGACGGUACCCGGAGAAGAAGCCCCGGCUAACUUCGUG
rnacentral:rRNA from 1 species